GACGAACGCUGGCGGCGUGCUUAACACAUGCAAGUCGAACGGAAAGGCCCUGCUUUUGUGGGGUGCUCGAGUGGCGAAAGGGUGAGUAACACGUGAGUAACCUGCCCUUGACUUUGGGAUAACUUCAGGAAACUGGGGCUAAUACCGGAUAGGAGCUCCUGCUGCAUGGUGGGGGUUGGAAAGUUUCGGCGGUUGGGGAUGGACUCGCGGCUUAUCAGCUUGUUGGUGGGGUAGUGGCUUACCAAGGCUUUGACGGGUAGCCGGCCUGAGAGGGUGACCGGCCACAUUGGGACUGAGAUACGGCCCAGACUCCUACGGGAGGCAGCAGUGGGAAAUAUUGCACAAUGGGCGGAAGCCUGAUGCAGCAACGCCGCGUGCGGGAUGACGGCCUUCGGGUUGUAAACCGCUUUCGCCUGUGACGAAGCGUGAGUGACGGUAAUGGGUAAAGAAGCACCGGCUAACUACGUG
rnacentral:rRNA from 1 species